rnacentral:rRNA from 1 species
GCCCUAGUAACGGCGAGUGAAGCGGCAACAGCUCAAAUUUGAAAUCUGGCCCUAGGCCCGAGUUGUAAUUUGCAGAGGAUGCUUCGGGCGCGGUGCCUUCCAAGUCCCCUGGAACGGGGCGCCGGAGAGGGUGAGAGCCCCGUACGGUUGGCGGCCAAGCCUGUGUGAAGCUCCUUCGACGAGUCGAGUAGUUUGGGAAUGCUGCUCUAAGCGGGAGGUAGACCCCUUCUAAAGCUAAAUAUAGGCCAGAGACCGAUAGCGCACAAGUAGAGUGAUCGAAAGAUGAAAAGCACUUUGAAAAGAGGGUUAAAUAGCACGUGAAAUUGUUGAAAGGGAAGCGCUUGUGACCAGACGUGCGCCGGGGUGUUCAGCGGGCGUUCUCGCCCGUGCACUCGCCUCGGCGCAGGCCAGCGUCGGUUCGAGUGGGAGGAUAAAGGCGUCUGGAAUGUGGCUCCUCCGGGAGUGUUAUAGCCAGACGUGCCAUGCUCCCGCCCGGACCGAGGUACGCGUUCUGCAAGGACGCUGGCGUAAUGGUCUCCAGCGACCCGUCUUGAAACACGGACCAAGGAGUCGAGGUUUUGCGCGAGUGUUUGGGUGUUAAACCCGCACGCGUAAUGAAAGUGAACGUAGGUGGGAGCUUCGGCGCACCACCGACCGAUCCUGAUGUUUUCGGAUGGAUUUGAGUAAGAGCGUAGGGCCUCGGACCCGAAAGAUGGUGAACUAUGCUUGGAUAGGGUGAAGCCAGAGGAAACUCUGGUGGAGGCUCGCAGCGGUUCUGACGUGCAAAUCGAUCGUCAAAUCUGAGCAU